rnacentral:rRNA from 1 species
AGAGUUUGAUCAUGGCUCAGGAUGAACGCUGGCGGCGUGCCUAACACAUGCAAGUCGAGCGAUCUUCUUCGGAAGAGAGCGGCGGACGGGUGAGUAACGCGUGGGUAACCUGCCCUGUACACACGGAUAACAUACCGAAAGGUAUGCUAAUACGAGAUAAUAUGCUUUUAUCGCAUGGUAGAAGUAUCAAAGCUCCGGCGGUACAGGAUGGACCCGCGUCUGAUUAGCUAGUUGGUAAGGUAACGGCUUACCAAGGCGACGAUCAGUAGCCGACCUGAGAGGGUGAUCGGCCACAUUGGAACUGAGACACGGUCCAAACUCCUACGGGAGGCAGCAGUGGGGAAUAUUGCACAAUGGGCGAAAGCCUGAUGCAGCAACGCCGCGUGAGCGAUGAAGGCCUUCGGGUCGUAAAGCUCUGUCCUCAAGGAAGAUAAUGACGGUACUUGAGGAGGAAGCCCCGGCUAACUACGUGCCAGCAGCCGCGGUAAUACGUAGGGGGCUAGCGUUAACCGGAAUUACUGGGCGUAAAGGGUGCGUAGGUGGUUUCUUAAGUCAGAGGUGAAGGGCUACGGCUCAACCGUAGUAAGCCUUUGAAACUGGGAAACUUGAGUGCAGGAGAGGAGAGUGGAAUUCCUAGUGUAGCGGUGAAAUGCGUAGAUAUUAGGAGGAACACCAGUGGCGAAGGCGGCUUACUGGACGGUAACUGACGUUGAGGCUCGAAAGCGUGGGGAGCAAACAGGAUUAGAUACCCUGGUAGUCCACGCGGUAAACGAUGAAUGCUAGGUGUCGGGUGACAAAGUCAUUCGGUGCCGCCGCAAACGCAUUAAGCAUUCCACCUGGGGAGUACGUUCGCAAGAAUGAAACUCAAAGGAAUUGACGGGGACCCGCACAAGCGGUGGAGCAUGUGGUUUAAUUCGGAGCAACGCGAAGAACCUUACCAAGUCUUGACAUCCCUCUGACCGGAACUUAACCGUUCCUUCCCUUCGGGGCAGAGGAGACAGGUGGUGCAUGGUUGUCGUCAGCUCGUGUCGUGAGAUGUUGGGUUAAGUCCCGCAACGAGCGCAACCCCUAUCCCCAGUAGCCAGCAUUUAAGGUGGGCACUCUGAGGAGACUGCCAGGGAUAACCUGGAGGAAGGCGGGGAUGACGUCAAAUCAUCAUGCCCCUUAUGAUUUGGGCUACACACGUGCUACAAUGGCGUAAACGAAGGGAAGCGAACCCGCGAGGGUGGGCAAAUCCCAAAAAUAACGUCCCAGUUCGGACUGUAGUCUGCAACCCGACUACACGAAGCUGGAAUCGCUAGUAAUCGCGGAUCAGAAUGCCGCGGUGAAUACGUUCCCGGGUCUUGUACACACCGCCCGUCACACCAUGGGAGUCAGUAACGCCCGAAGUCAGUGACCUAACCGUAAGGAGGGAGCUGCCGAAGGCGGGACCGAUGACUGGGGUGAAGUCGUAACAAGGUA